rnacentral:piRNA from 1 species
UAAUCCAAUAGCGUGUUUCUCUCACUGGA